rnacentral:rRNA from 1 species
UGACGGUACCUGAAGAAUAAGCACCGGCUAACUACGUGCCAGCAGCCGCGGUAAUACGUAGGGUGCAAGCGUUAAUCGGAAUUACUGGGCGUAAAGCGUGCGCAGGCGGUUUGUUAAGACAGUCGUGAAAUCCCCGGGCUUAACCUGGGAACUGCGAUUGUGACUGGCAAGCUAGAGUACGGCAGAGGGGGGUGGAAUUCCUGGUGUAGCAGUGAAAUGCGCAGAUAUCAGGAGGAACACCAAUGGCGAAGGCAGGUCUCCGGGCCAUAACUGACACUGAGGAGCGAAAGUGCGGGGAGCGAACAGGAUUAGAUACCCUGGUAGUCCGCACCGUAAACGGUGGGCACUAGUUGUGGGAACCUUCCACGGUUUCCACGACGCAGCAAACGCAUUAAGUGCCCCGCCUGGGGAGUACGAUCGCAAGAUUAAAACUCAAAGGAAUUGACGGGGCCCCGCACAAGCAGCGGAGCAUGCGGCUUAAUUCGACGCAACGCGAAGAACCUUACCAAGGCUUGACAUAUAAGUGAAAAGUGGCAGAGAUGUCAUGUCCGCAAGGGCGCUAUACAGGUGGUUGCAUGGUUGUCGUCAGC